UGCUGAUGAUGAUAUAUCCAAAGGCUUGUUUCUCAAAACAUUCGCAGUGGCCGCCUGAGAGCUUUCGCCUCGCCGGGGCUCGAGAGCUUGUGCUGCUUAGUUUUUUCUUCCUUGGAUGUCUGAGGCU